rnacentral:rRNA from 1 species
AGUCACUGACAUUAGAUACCCGGGUAGUCCAGGGUGUAAACGCUGCGGGCUUGGUGUUGGGGGUCCUUUGAGGGCGCCCAGUGCCGGAGAGAAGUUGUUAAGCCUGCUGCUUGGGGAGUACGUCCGCAAGGAUGAAACUUAAAGGAAUUGGCGGGGGAGCACCGCAACGGGAGGAGCGUGCGGUUCAAUUGGAUUCAACGCCGGACAACUCACCAGGAGCGACGGUUACAUGAAGGCCAGGCUGAUGACCUUGCCUGAUUUUCCG